UACAGAGGUCUCGAGCGUUAGGCGGAAUCACUGGGCUUAAAGCGUGUGUAGGCGGAUCGGUAAGUACCUUGUGAAAUCCCACAGCUUAACUGUGGAACUGCUCGGUAUACUGCCAGUCUUGAGCCAGCUAGGGGCUACCGGAACAAAUGGUGGAGCGGUGAAAUGCGUAGAUAUCAUUUGGAACGCCAAUGGUGAAAACAGGUAGCUGGGGCUGUGCUGACGCUGAGGCACGAAAGCCAGGGGAGCAAACGGG
rnacentral:rRNA from 1 species